AUUGAACGCUGGCGGCAGGCUUAACACAUGCAAGUCGAGCGGGGAAGGUUGCUUCGGUAACUGACCUAGCGGCGGACGGGUGAGUAAUGCUUAGGAAUCUGCCUAUUAGUGGGGGACAACAUCUCGAAAGGGAUGCUAAUACCGCAUACGUCCUACGGGAGAAAGCAGGGGACCUUCGGGCCUUGCGCUAAUAGAUGAGCCUAAGUCGGAUUAGCUAGUUGGUGGGGUAAAGGCCUACCAAGGCGACGAUCUGUAGCGGGUCUGAGAGGAUGAUCCGCCACACUGGGACUGAGACACGGCCCAGAAUCCUACGGGAGGCAGCAGUUGGGAAUAUUGGACAAUGGGGGGAACCCUGAUCCAGCCAUGCCGCGUGUGUGAAGAAGGCCUUUUGGUUGUAAAGCACUUUAAGCGAGGAGGAGGCUACUGGUAUUAAUACUACCGGAUAGUGGACGUUACUCGCAGAAUAAGCACCGGCUAACUCUGUGCCAGCCGCCGCCGUAAUAC
rnacentral:rRNA from 1 species